rnacentral:rRNA from 1 species
CCUACGUGAGGCAGCAGUGAGGAAUAUUGGUCAAUGUGAGAGAUCCUGAACCAGCCAAGCCGCGUGAGGGAAGACGGCCCUAUGGGGUGUAAACUUCUUUUAUAUGGGAAUAAAACAGGGUAUGCAUACCCUCUUGUAUGUACCAUAUGAAUAAGGAUCGGCUAACUCCGUGCCAGCAGCCGCGGUAAUACGGAGGAUACGAGCGUUAUCCGGAUUUAUUGGGUUUAAAGGGAGCGUAGGUGGAUUGUUAAGUCAGUUGUGAAAGUUUGCGGCUCAACCGUAAAAUUGCAGUUGAAACUGGCAGUCGUAAGUACAGUAGAGGUGGGCGGAAUUCGUGGUGUAGCGGUGAAAUGCUUAGAUAUCACGAAGAACUCCGAUUGCGAAGGCAGCUCACUGGACUGCAACUGACACUGAUGCUCGAAAGUGUGGGUAUCAAACAGGAUUAGAUACCCUUGUAGUC